AUUGAACGCUGGCGGCAGGCCUAACACAUGCAAGUCGAGCGAGCGGCGGACGGGUGAGUAAUGUCUGGGAAACUGCCUGAUGGAGGGGGAUAACUACUGGAAACGGUAGCUAAUACCGCAUACCAUCAGAUGUGCCCAGAUGGGAUGAGCUAGUAGGUGGGGUAACGGCUCACCUAGGCGACGAUCCCUAGCUGGUCUGAGAGGAUGACCAGCCACACUGGAUCGGAGACACGUUCCAUACUCAUACGGGCGGCAGAAGUGGGGAAUAUGUAACAAUGGGCGCAAGCCUGAUGCAGCCAUGCAGCGUGUGUGAAGAAGGCCUUCCGUUUGUAAAGCACUUUCAGCGGGGAGGCGUUACCCGCAGAAGAAGCACCGGCUAACUCCGUGCCAGCAGCCGCGGUAAUAC
rnacentral:rRNA from 1 species